rnacentral:sRNA from 1 species
UAGUAGGUUAAUAUGGGGACGAAGUCCCCAAUAACAGUAGAAAAUUCAAUAAAAAAAAAAAUUCGGGAAAAUUUCCCGAAUUUUCAUUGUAU